GCAAGUCGAACGGCAGCACGGGUGCUUGCACCUGGUGGCGAGUGGCGAACGGGUGAGUAAUACAUCGGAACAUGUCCUGUAGUGGGGGAUAGCCCGGCGAAAGCCGGAUUAAUACCGCAUACGAUCUACGGAUGAAAGCGGGGGACCUUCGGGCCUCGCGCUAUAGGGUUGGCCGAUGGCUGAUUAGCUAGUUGGUGGGGUAAAGGCCUACCAAGGCGACGAUCAGUAGCUGGUCUGAGAGGACGACCAGCCACACUGGGACUGAGACACGGCCCAGACUCCUACGGGAGGCAGCAGUGGGGAAUUUUGGACAAUGGGCGAAAGCCUGAUCCAGCAAUGCCGCGUGUGUGAAGAAGGCCUUCGGGUUGUAAAGCACUUUUGUCCGGAAAGAAAUCCUUGGUCCUAAUACGAUCGGGGGAUGACGGUACCGGAAGAAUAAGCACCGGCUAACUACGUGCCAGCAGCCGCGGUAAUACGUAGGGUGCGAGCGUUAAUCGGAAUUACUGGGCGUAAAGCGUGCGCAGGCGGUUUGCUAAGACCGAUGUGAAAUCCCCGGGCUCAACCUGGGAACUGCAUUGGUGACUGGCAGGCUAGAGUAUGGCAGAGGGGGGUAGAAUUCCACGUGUAGCAGUGAAAUGCGUAGAGAUGUGGAGGAAUACCGAUGGCGAAGGCAGCCCCCUGGGCCAAUACUGACGCUCAU
rnacentral:rRNA from 2 species